CACGUAGGGGGCAAGCGUUGUCCGGAUUUAUUGGGCGUAAAGAGCUCGUAGGUGGUUCGGUAAGUCAGGUGUGAAACCUCCAGGCUCAACCUGGAGACGCCACUUGAUACUGCUGUGACUGGAGUCCGGUAGGGGAGCGUGGAAUUCCUGGUGUAGCGGUGAAAUGCGCAGAUAUCGGGAGGAACACCAGUGGCGAAGGCGGGCAUCUGGGCCAACACUGACGCUGAGGCGCGAAAGCUAGGGGAGCAAACAGG
rnacentral:rRNA from 1 species